rnacentral:lncRNA from 1 species
CCUUUGUUCAUCCAGAGGUUUGGCCUGGAUGAACAUGACGGACAGCUCGAAAGAAGAAGCUCGACAGAUUCGGAGGAAUACUUGAUGGACGGCCUAGAGGAAGAAGCUCGAUGGAUCUGGAUAGAGAUCGACAGGCUUCUGGAGGUCCCGUGGGUUAUCUUUUGCUUCUCGUAUGACUCGGGCUCUGCAGAGGUCUGGUAAGUUAGUCCUCACGUGACGUUGUGUGCCUACGACGAUCUUGUGCCUACGACAUCUAGCACUUCUUAUCUUCGUGUAAGAGGUAGUGUGUGCCAGCGGUGAGCUUGUGUUUAUGGUAUCCUGUGCUUUUCGAUGACAUUCUGAGGGUCUGAUUAGUUGGGCCUUAGAAGAUUCUCUCAAGGAUUUUCCUCCACUUCUCGUGCGACUAGGGAUCUGUAGGAGUCUGGUAAGUUAUCCCCAUCUCGGAGUCAUCAAGAUCUUCUCGAGAAUCUCAUAAAUUAGGCCUCCAGAGGUUCCCUGAGGGUCUCCUCUGCUUCUCACGCGACUUGGACUCUGCAGGGGUCUGGUAAGUUAGCUCGAUCUUGAAGUUGUCGAGAUCUUCUCGAAGAUUUGAUAAGUUAGCCCUCUAGAGAUUUUCUAAGGGUCUUCCUUCGCUUCUCACGCAACUCAGACUCUGCAGGGGUCUAGUAAGUUAGUCCCACCUCGGAGUUAUCGAGAUCUUCUCGAGGAUCUAAUAAGUUAGCCAUCCGGAGGUUCUCUAAGGAUCUCCCUCUACUUCUUGCACGACUCGAACUUUGCAGGGGUCUGGUAAGUUAGCCCCACUUCGGAGUUAUCGAGAUCUUCUCGAGGAUAUGGUAAGUUAGUCCUUCGAAGGUUUCUUAAGGGUCUCCCUCGGUUUCUCGCAUGACUCGGACUCUGUAGGGAUCUAGUAAGUUAGCCUCACCUCGGAGUCGUCGAGAUCUUCUCGAAGGUUUGGUAGGUUAGCCCUCCG